AGAAACGAACCAUCAGAGAGUCGGUGGGGGUCCCACCUUUUUCUCUCUCUAAAUUCCUCCCCCAACUCACCUCACACUCAUUAUUAUUAGUGCUUCUCACCUCAUUCCUCCGCCACCGCCACCACCACCCUCUCCUCCGAUGGCGACGGCGGCGGAGCCAGAAGCGAAGACCUACUGGUGCCACGAAUGCGAUAUGAGCGUGUCCCUCACGCUCCUUCCCUCGCCUCUCCUCUGUCCCCACUGCCACACCUCCUUCCUUGAACUGAUGGACUCUCCCUUCUCCCAAAACGACGCCGAAUCACCCCUCUUCGACGUCGUUUUCCAGGACGCGCUCUUACUCCUCUCCCCCAAGCCCCUCCCCGCCAAACCCCGCCCUCUUCCCUCCGUCAACGUCACACCCUCGCUCCUUUCCGCGCUCGACCCCAACGGCGUCGUUUUCUGCGCCGUUUGCAAAGACCAAAUUGUCCUCGACGCCGAGGCCAAACAAUUGCCCUGCAAACACCUCUACCACGCCGAUUGCAUCACGCCGUGGCUCGACCUCCACGCGUCGUGCCCGUUGUGUAGGCUCCGCCUUGAGGAAGAGGCGGCACAGGAGGAGGAAGACGAAGGUGACGGCGUGGUGACGGAGAUCCGGAGGGAGCUGAUCGCGAGGCUCACGGAGUUUACGGAGGAGGAUUUCUACGGGCUGAGGACCACACUCAGCCACAUUGCCUCGCGCCACGCGCUCAUCGAAGAGAACGAGAACCUCCUUCAAAUUGGCGAACCUCGAGGUGCCCAAGCGCCUUUGCUAUAAGUGUUCCUAUAGGUGUCAAGUGAGAAAUUUAUCAAAUAGGAGCCAAAAUGAAAACCUAUAAAAGCCAGGUAUAUAGUCUAUUAAAAUAAUGUUGAAGUUGUAUCACAUGGAUCGUCUUAUCAAGUGUAAAUCUGCACCGACGAUUAUGCUGCUUCUUUUCUUUCCCUCCUUUUUUGGGAAUCUCCAACUAGCUAGUUGUAGUGUUAUGGCCAAAAAAUACAAUAAAUUGAUGGAGUGCUAGAGCAACAUGCGCUUCUCUUCCCGUCUUCCACUAUCUAUGUUGGUCCUAGGAACUGUCUUUCCUUAAGCCAAAUUUCCCCUCCAUUUUAGGUAAUAAAAUAUCGUGUAAAAUUUAGCUUUUUUUUUGUAUUAUGUAUGAAUUGAUCAAGUGGAUGGAUCCUUCCCCCUGAACAUGUUUUCUGUUUUGGCCUCAGUAGAUGAUAUUUUUGCUGCCAAUAUUUCUGUAGUUACGAUAAGAGAUUAUUGAGGGAUUGAAUUAUUUGAGUGUAGGCUGUGUACCAUGGAAAAACUUUAAAAUGCUUGUUGUGUGCAA